rnacentral:lncRNA from 1 species
CAUGUUAAUAGAUUAUCAUACAAGUGACAACACUCAGCAACUGGCCAGAGCUAACGUUGUUCAAAAACACAAGCUUCUAUUACAUUUUUGGAGCAAUAGUAGCAGCAUUUAAAUGGAAUUCCGACUGGAAGUUAGUUUUGCUUGCGUUUGGCUCCCUUAUAGUUAAAUCCCACAAGUAUAUUGAGCUGCUCUUCACCUCAGAUUCCCACUGCC